UAAACUACGAUUAGAUACCCUAUUAUUUUAAAUGUGAAUAAUGAAAUACUUGAGUAGUAUGAGUUAUGUUCUUUAAACUUAAAGAAUUUGGCGGUGUUUUAGUCUAUUCAGAGGAACCUGUCCCGUAAUCGAUAUCCCACGUAAAAUCUUACUUAGUUUUGUUUUCAGUUUGUAUACCGCCGUCGUCAGAAUGUCUUUAGAAGGAUGAAAUUUUCUUAAAUUUUUAUUAAAAAUGAUGUCAGGUCAAGGUGCAGCUAAUGAUUAAGUGGAGAUGGGUUACAAUAAAUUUAUUUAAAUGAAUUUCAAUUUGAAAUAGAGGUUUGAAAGUGGAUUUGAUUGUAAUUUGAUUAAUAAAGUUGAAUUGAUAUUAGCUCUAAAACAUGCACACAUCGCCCGUCGCUCUUA
rnacentral:rRNA from 1 species